rnacentral:tRNA from 1 species
GUUUUAAUAAUUUAAGCAAAAUACUGGUCUUGUAAACCAGAAAUAAGAUAAAAUCUUUUAAAACA